CUGGGUCCCAGCUGGGAUCUUCAAAUCAACCAUGCCAUCCACUGUUGGGACCUUUAUGGUAGUCCCCAAAAUUGCAUCUAUAUAUGACACUUUGCAGGUAUAUAAAAUGUUGGUACCAUCACGUUUUAGCACAGGGUCUGGGAUAACUUCAAUAACAACAAAGAGGUCACCAGGAGAACCACCUCUCCUUCCAGCAUUUCCUUCUCCCCGUACUCUUAAACGGCUCUCAGUGUCCACACCAGCAGGAAUUUUCAGACUGAUCCGCUUUGUCCUCCUUACUCGUCCAUCCCCAGAACACGUGUUGCAAGAGGUAGACACUUUCCCGGUCCCACCGCAUGAAGAGCAAGUCAUUACCUGCUGGAAGACACCUAACGGAGUCCUUGCUGAUGAGACUACUUGUCCCUGGCCACCACAGGUACUACAUGUAGAUGGCUUUGCACCAGAACCAUUGCAAGUGCCACAGGUCUCAAGACGUGUUAUCUCAAUCUCCUUUUCAACGCCAAAAACAGCUUCUUUGAAAUUUAUGACAAGGCUGUAAUAUUCAUCUUGUCCAUCAACUGCUCUGCUCCUGGAAGCUCUGCUCCCCAUGCUCCCCAUUCCGCCCAUACCACCCAUGCCCUCAAAUAGUGAUUCAAACAAAUCGAAAGGAUUGCUGAAAUCCUGGCAUGCUCAAGUAGUUGAUCCAAAAUGGAGAAUUAGAAGGGGCCAACAAUAAAUAUAUGCAAUAAUCAGUGGAAAUUUAACUUACCCCCAUGCCCAUACCAGCACCUUUAAGUCCAGCCUCCCCAAAUUUGUCAUUUAAAGAACGUUUCUCAUCAUCUGACAGAACCUGCAGAACAGAAUGGUUGUAUUCCUUAAGAUCAGAUACUUUACACAAUGAACAAAGUUCAAUCAUAAAAUGCAUAACUGAACCUUUUUUACCUCAUAUGCAUUGCUAAUUUCCUUGAGAUGCUGUUCUGCAUUAGGUUCUCUACAUAAUACAAUUAAAUGAUUCCAAAAGUAAGCAAACUUAAUUUUUGGAAGAUUCAUACAAACGAAAUGGUAAGCUUUUUAAGUAUUGUAACUUCCUUUUGAGAUUAUAGAUAAAGAGAAAGAAUGAGAAAGAAUGAGAAAGAAUGAGAAAGAACUUACUUGUUUACAUCCGGGUGAUUGCUAUUUGCAAUACCCCACUAAUUCGUUAACCUGUCGGUCCGACAUCACAGUUAUGCUGUCGAAACUAACAAACACAAUCGACUUCUUUUGCCUUUGAUCAAGCCAUUCCAGACAUUAGAAGUCAUUUCUUUUGCUAGAGAAUAUGUCGUUGUCGGCAUAACCGAUGCAGUUAGCUCAAAAGGGAGUUCAAUGAUUGUUGAAUGAACGAAUUCAGUAGCCGUCGAGCCGACCAGGGCUUGAGAGAUGCGAAACUCUUUCAAGCAAUAAGGGUAGCGGGCCUAUUGUGUAAAUGCGAGGGAAUUUGGUCUAACACUUCGUGUUCAAGCUCAUCAAAUGCGUUUUUUAUUUUUUUUAAGCAUCAAAUGUGUUGAGAAUGAUAGCGAAUGAUUUUAAGCAAUUUUGUAUUUCAUCUUUCAUCUGAUGAAACACGGCUAUAUAUGUCUUCAUCGCAGAUAUGUCCGUACAUACCGUAGUUCUAGAGAUGCGUCGUGUGACAUGUAUUGUGGAACGCAUUUAUUGGCAGCAUACGCGGGGAAAAUUCUUGGGGGCUCGGAUAUAUAACCGUCUAUAUUUUUUAUUUGCCACUAAAUUCUUGCCACGUGGAUCUAUUACCUGCUUCUUACUAGAGAAAUACGCGCGGGUGCGCCUAAGACUCUCCUUGAUGGCAUACGGGAUAAAAUAAAGUGUUUCAUAGACUAGAAAUAUCUUCUUCUUUCUUAAUUCUUCUAUGUACUUUGUCUGUCCACGUCCAUUUAACUUGUAUAUAUACACGUUCGGCCAGUUUUUCUCUUUUUAAUUAUUUGCCGCCCCAUCUUUGUUGAGAUUUUCUACUUUCAAGAAUCAAGAUAAAAAGUUUAAAGCUAACAAUACCUGAAUAAGAAGAGUACCCUGCCGUAAUGCAUACUAUCGUCAUUAUCACGAGGCAGCAGCCCUCAGCAGAGCAUGCCGCAUUAUUUGAUUAAUAGAUCAAGCGAAUAAAAGAAUGAACCACGGGCAUCAAACGAUACCGCUAAGUGCUAAGAGGAGGCCACUAAUAAGAUUUAGGAAAACGAUAAUGAGCAUCUUUCACCCUUACUACCUAACAAAAAAGAAUAAUAUCCAAUGCAUUAUCUGAAGACUGGCCAUCCAAAUGACACAGACUAAACCAAACUAAGCAUUCGAAUGAUUUUUAUGCUUUAGUAAUUUUUGGUGGUGCGCAAUCGAGGGGACACUGGAUCGAGUAUAAUUUCAGAAUUCAUACAACCCCUGAUAAUAAAAUCUAAUGCAUGAAAACAAAGCCAUCCGACAACUCCAUGGGCAUUGACCCCGCCAAAAAAAUAAAAAUAAAAAUACAUAGUUCAGAACAAUUCGAGUAGAAAUACUUGUUCAAGUAUUUAACUUAGAUCCCCAUUGACACAUUGACAGAUAUACAAUUCAUUUCGAGGGAAUGAAUUGUACCCCUGCAGCCAUGAUCAAUAAUCAUUGACUAACGAGCGAAGUAAAUAAAUAAAUAAAACCAUUUCAUCACAAGUGCACAUUCGCAAAAAUCAUCAAGCUGUUGCAAAAUUAAAGGAUGGUAUUAUUGCACAAAAUCUAGUCACACUCCAAAAAAUAAUUAAUAGGUAACUUAUGAAAUCAAGUAAAAAACAAAAUUAAAGAGGGAUGCAUCUCCCAUUUCACCUCCAUUAACCAUUCUCAAAGAUAUCUUCUUGUGGUCAAAAGUAUAGCAAUGUAAUUUCACCUACUACUACAGAAACUUGCUUACCCCAUUUCCUCAGCUCAGACACACUGAGAACUGUCAAAUUCAGAAAUCCCCUUAUCAUGAGCCAUAUAGACUCAGCAAUGACCACCAUAGAAUGAAGAAUGUUUCUUCGGGGUGAGCAACAUAAAUUUGAUAAAUACAAAAAGGCCCAAGCAACUAUCUCCUGCUUGCUGUCUUUCCCUUGCUCAGAUCAGCAAGCUCCUCAAUAAGUUUUCUCUCUUCACUGCUCAAUCUUUUCGGGAUUUCAACUUGGACGCGUACCAACUGAUCUCCUCUCAUGUUGCUUUUAUUUAGUACUGGUACCCCUUUCUUUGCCAUAACAAGUGUUGUGUUCGGCUGGGUCCCAGCUGGGAUCUUCAAAUCAACCAUGCCAUCCACUGUUGGGACCUUUAUGGUAGUCCCCAAAAUUGCAUCUAUAUAUGACACUUUGCAGGUAUAUAAAAUGUUGGUACCAUCACGUUUUAGCACAGGGUCUGGGAUAACUUCAAUAACAACAAAGAGGUCACCAGGAGAACCACCUCUCCUUCCAGCAUUUCCUUCUCCCCGUACUCUUAAACGGCUCUCAGUGUCCACACCAGCAGGAAUUUUCAGACUGAUCCGCUUUGUCCUCCUUACUCGUCCGUCCCCAGAACACGUGUUGCAAGAG
rnacentral:lncRNA from 1 species